AGGAAAAUUGAUUUUUGACUUAGAAUAUAAUAUAAUACACAAGGAAUUAGAAUUUUUUCUAGAAUCAAAAUUAAAGUGUUGCACUUGGGUUUAUCAUAAAAGAAACCCACUGUGGUCAGGUGGUAUAUUAUAUUCAAAAUAAAAAAGUAAUGGGAGAUAAUCCAAAUUAAGCUUAGAAAAUUCAUCUAGCCUUCAUUCUUUGCAUUUGUUCCUGAAC
rnacentral:lncRNA from 1 species